AGAGUUUGAUCCUGGCUCAGGACGAACGCUGGCGGCGUGGAUUAGGCAUGCAAGUCGAACGAGGAUAUAUCCUUCGGGAUAUAAGCCGAGUGGCACAAGGGUGAGCAAUGCAUAGAUUACCUACCUUUAGGAUAAGGGCAACUUUGUGAAAACGGAGCUAAUACUUAAUAAUACAAAAGAAAAUAAUUUUCUUUUGUCAAAGGGAGGGUAGCAAUACCUUUCGCCUAGAGAGGGGUUUAUGUCCUAUCAGCUUGUUGGUGGGGUAAUAGCCUACCAAGGCGAAGACGGGUAGCCGGUUUAAGAGGAUGGUCGGCCACACUGGGACUGAGACACUGCCCAGACUUCUACGGAAGGCUGCAGUCGAGAAUCUUUCGCAAUGCCCGAAAGGGUGACGAAGCGACGCCGCGUGGGUGAAGAAGGCCUUCGGGUUGUAAAGCCCUGUCAGGAGUUAUGAAAUGUAAGUACGCUAAUAUCGUAUUUAUUUGACAAAGGCUCCAAAGGAAGCCACGGCUAACUCUGUGCCAGCAGCCGCGGUAAUACAGAGGUGGCGAGCGUUGUUCGGAAUUAUUGGGCGUAAAGAGCACGUAGGUGGGUUUGCAAGUCAGAUGUGAAAGCCUUCUGUUCAACGGAAGAAUUGCAUCUGAAACUGCUAAUCUUGAGUAUAGGAGGGGAGAAUGGAACUUCUGGUGGAGCGGUGAAAUGCGUAGAUAUCAGAAGGAACGCCGGCGGCGAAAGCGAUUCUCUGGCCUAUUACUGACACUCAGUGUGCGAAAGCUAGGGGAGCAAACGGGAUUAGAUACCCCGGUAGUCCUAGCCGUAAACGAUGGGCACUAAGUAGAGGGGAUUACCUAUAUUCUCUCUGCCGUAGCUAACGCAUUAAGUGCCCCGCCUGGGGAGUACGGCCGCAAGGCUAAAACUCAAAAGAAUUGACGGGGGCUCGCACAAGCGGUGGAGCAUGUGGCUUAAUUCGAUGCAACGCGAAAAACCUUACCGGGGCUUGACAUGAUAGAAGUAGGAACCUGAAAGGGGGACGAACGGUAUCCAGUCCGUAGCUAUUACAGGUGUUGCAUGGCUGUCGUCAGCUCGUGUCGUGAGACGUUGGGUUAAGUCCCCUAACGAGCGAAACCCUUGUUUUUAGUUACCAGCGGGUUAUGCCGGGUACUCUAGAAAGACUGCCGUCGUCAAGACGGAGGAAGGUGGGGAUGACGUCAAGUCAUCAUGGCCCUUAUGCCCCGGGCUGCACACGUGCUACAAUGGUCGGUACAGACGGAAGCGAAGCCGAGAGGUGAAGCGAAUCCUAAAAAGCCGAUCUCAGUUCGGAUUGGAGGCUGAAAUUCGCCUCCAUGAAGUUGGAAUCGCUAGUAAUCGCGGAUCAGCAAUGUCGCGGUGAAUAUGUUCCCGAGCCUUGUACACACCGCCCGUCAAGCCACCCAAGCAGGAUGCACCCGAAAACAUUAUAUCUAACCAGGGCAACUUGGAGGAAAAUGUUGAAGGAGUGUUUUGUGAGGAGGACUAAGUCGUAACAAGGU
rnacentral:rRNA from 1 species